CGCGCCGAGAACCAAAAUGGAGCGCUGUUUCGCGGUAUAUUCUUGUGGCUUGAUGCAUUUGAAAAAUCUCAAAUCACAGGAGUAUACUGUGAGAGAUCGCGGAACCCGUCCCGGAGAUGGAUG
rnacentral:pre_miRNA from 11 species